CACUUCUUCAAUGAAUACUCAUAAGAACAGAAAUUUAUAAUACGAAAAUAUUAUGUCGUUACAAAUAUUUAUAUGCAUUAAAAAAAUGCACACGUACAGAAAAAUUGUGUUAACGCAUGCGGAAGAAUAUCACAAGAAAGUUUUUUUUUGGAAAAUAUGAAUGUCUACUCAAAUCCAAUCUAUUGGAAAAAUCGAAUUGUUAUAGAAGAGUGUCCACCAU
rnacentral:lncRNA from 1 species